UACGGGGGGGGCAAGCGUUGUUCGGAAUUACUGGGCGUAAAGGGCCAGUAGGCGGCCAACUAAGUCCGACGUGAAAUCCCAAGGCUUAACCUUGGAACUGCGUCGGAUACUGGAUGGCUUGAAUUCGGGAGAGGGAUGCAGAAUUCCAGGUGUAGCGGUGAAAUGCGUAGAGAUGUGGAGGAAUACCGAUGGCGAAGGCAGCCCCCUGGGAUAACACUGACGCUCAUGCACGAAAGCGUGGGGAGCAAACAGG
rnacentral:rRNA from 1 species